rnacentral:snRNA from 1 species
GUGCUUGGUUUGGCAACACGUAUACUAAAAUUGUAACGAUAAAGAGAAAAUGGUCCCUGUACAAGGAUGAUUCAAAUUUGUGAAAUUUUGAUAAUAAAA